UGCAAUACGGAAAACUUGAACGAGUGGUAUCAAAGGUGGCGCGAAUCCAGCUAACAAGUCGACUAAUUCGAAGCAAGUCAAGAGAAGUUGAGUGGUUGGCUCACGCGAUGUUAGAGAGAAGUGAGAGAUGUGCUGAUGUGGAGGAGGUCUUUGGAGGAGGCAAGUGAUACACCAGGUAAACUAUACACUUGGUGUACUUAACACCCGCACACUCCAACUGACAAUGAACGGGGCCAGAAUUGCUUCGCGCUUACUACCGUGCAGUCGCUCGACGGCCGCAUGGAAAGAUGACCCCAGACAUGGGACUGUUGCUCAUUGGGGCCCUGCGUCAAAUUAUGGACAGAGAGAGGAGGAGGAAUCAAAACAAGUGUGAGCGAGGUGAAGAGAGGUCUCAUGGUGUGGUGGGAGAGACUGGCUUCGUGAUAGCAGGUCUCAAAACCAGCUGAAGAACUCGAAGACUUGGAAUUUUUACCUUUGAAUUGAACACAUGCGAUCCAGCUACAGAUUUUUUUCCUGGAUUGAGUCAAGCUGAGGAAUUACAGAAGAGAUGUAAUAUUCACAAUUAAUCAUUAUUUCAGAACAAGUGUCAUUGAGAGAAUGAUUAAAUAAAUAAAAAAUUGUUGUUGACAAAAAAGAGCCAGGGCUCUUGAACUGGACGAUGCUGGACUGGUUUUGAAGAAUUAAAUGUCGCGAUGAAUAAAGUAAAGCUGACAAGGCAGGGCUAGUGUGUGUACACAUACGAAUAAAUAUAAAGAGAGCUGGGGACAUUGCUAAAAACACACUUUGAUCCAAUAAAUGUCAGUGUCCCCAUAUGGAUAAUAGAGUGAGAAGAGGUCUUUGUCAUUAAUAUAAGUCUAUGAACAGAUCAAGUACAAUAAUGCUAAUAUUAAUAUUACGCUCAAUUCUUCUCAUAUGUUCUAUAGAUUAAAUCCCAUGUGACUUUUAUCAAUACCAGUAAGCUAACUCACGUCUUUUAUAUCACUGCAUGACUAAAUGUUUUCUCAGUAUGUUCCGAAAAAAUUGAGACAUCAAACGAAUUUAAAUUCACGUCUUAUUAAGAGAAUAAUGACGCUUGAUGAAUGUGGGACAUCAUCAAGGAAUCCUCCCACGUUGGAAAUUUUCUGAUUCGCAAUCAAAAGAGAACUGUUACAAAUCCUUAAUUGUAUCAUGGUAAUAAAUGUAAAGAGGAAAAAAUUAAAAUAAAAUAAUCCAACAAAUAAA